UUUUUGCUCGAUGACGUGGCCUAUUUUUAGCCUUGGAUCUCUUUAUCCAGAGGAACCGAAGCCUACUACCGAGACGUUGCAUACAGGGACAUACUAAAACCGAAAGCCGUUUCCUUCAAACAUCCCAAGUGAAGAAAGACCAAGAAAGUGGAACAUGCUUUGCUGCCCCACCCGGCGGCCGGAGCACACUGGCUCUGUCCUUCUCCGCGCCACUCCAACUGCAAGGUUUUUUUUCCGGUGAAUUAAGAGGUGCUGCUCAUUCCUAGCAUGAAGCGGCAUGCUUUGACUGUGAACAGGCUAUCGAUGAUGUAUGUGGGAUAAACAACUGCUGCCUGCUACAACAGGAUGUUAGCCACAAAUCUAAUUACAUUGGACCACAAUGAUUACUUUCUCUUGAAGGGUCCAGCUAGGCCUGUUGAAAAGAAACAUCUACCAACAUUGGACCACCUGGAAAAAGACAAGGAGGGAUGUUUUUAUUAGACCAUGAAGUAUCAUGUGUGUCACAGAAUUCCUUAUACAAAGAAUUUUAUUCUUUUGGAUGUGAAGUUUCACAGGUGGGGAUGCACUAUCUGCUUUUGCCACAUCAGUGAAGAAUAAAGAAAGAUCUCCAUUCCUUGUGAAUAGCAUUUCAAGCUGGCUGCAUACGAGAGCGACAACCUGGUCACAGUGAGAGACAACCUGUUGAUAACUCUAUAGUGCUUUGAUGGGUUAUUGUUUGUCUUGAUGUUGGCUCUUGGAGAGCCCUGGCACUCUCCAUGUCAACCCAAUGAAGCAUUUUCUAUUUGCGCCAUUUUGUAUAUUCUUGUACAACUUUCAUAUGGGUGGGAUGUGAAAAUUAGUUCGAAUAUGUGAAUGUACUUUUGUAUUCUUGUGGAAUAUUAAAUUGUGAAUAUAUUGGUAAACAUUCCAUGG